UACGUAGGGUGCAAGCGUUGUCCGGAAUUAUUGGGCGUAAAGAGCUCGUAGGCGGUCUGUUGCGUCGGCUGUGAAAACCCGGGGCUCAACCCCGGGCCUGCAGUCGAUACGGGCAGACUAGAGUUCGGCAGGGGAGACUGGAAUUCCUGGUGUAGCGGUGAAAUGCGCAGAUAUCAGGAGGAACACCGGUGGCGAAGGCGGGUCUCUGGGCCGAUACUGACGCUGAGGAGCGAAAGCGUGGGGAGCGAACAGG
rnacentral:rRNA from 1 species